GACGAACGCUGGCGGCGUGCCUAAUACAUGCAAGUCGAGCGCAGGAAAUCGACGGAACCCUUCGGGGGGAAGUCGACGGAAUGAGCGGCGGACGGGUGAGUAACACGUAAAGAACCUGCCCUCAGGUCUGGGAUAACCACGAGAAAUCGGGGCUAAUACCGGAUGGGUCAUCGGACCGCAUGGUCCGAGGAUGAAAGGCGCUUCGGCGUCGCCUGGGGAUGGCUUUGCGGUACAUUAGCUAGUUGGUGGGGUAAUGGCCCACCAAGGCGACGAUGCAUAGCCGACCUGAGAGGGUGAUCGGCCAGACUGGGACUGAGACACGGCCCAGACUCCUACGGGAGUCAGCAGUAGGGAAUCUUCCACAAUGGACGAAAGUCUGAUGGAGCAACGCCGCGUGAACGAUGAAGGCCUUCGGGUCGUAAAGUUCUGUUGUAAGGGAAGAACAAGUGCCGCAGGCAAUGGCGGCACCUUGACGGUACCUUGCGAGAAAGCCACGGCUAACUACGUGCCAGCCGCCGCAGUAA
rnacentral:rRNA from 1 species